UAUACUGAAUGUCGUGAUUUCAAUUUUUUCAAUGAAUAGAAGGGGACGUGUCUGUACAAGUUUAGGAUUGCAUACCUGCAUAUUUACGUAUAUCUGAUGUCAUGACGUUUGAUCAUAUGAUAGUUGAAGGAUGAUCAAUUAACUUUCAGACCAAUUGAAAGUGCGGUGUAGUAGUUGAUACUAAAUAUCUUCAGGAAAAUAUAUAUUCUUUCAAACUGUACUAGGUAACAGAAGGGAUUAAGCUUGAAAUUACAAUUAUGCAAAAGGAUAUUAAGACUAAUGCUAGUAAAUCCCGAGCCGAUCAGGUGAACCGGCUGAAAACUGAGCUUUCCAGUGAGAGAGAAAAAUGUGAGCGCCUUGAAGCUGAUUUGUCCC